AUACUUACCUGGGCGGGGUCAAUCGGUGAACAGAAAGGCCGAUGGCCUAGGGCGGCCGCUUCCAUUGCACUUGGGUGGUGGGUCACCCUAGCAUCUCUCCAAUGUGGGAGACUGCACGUCAUAAUUUGUGAAAGGGGGGUACGCGUUCGCGCGGCCCCCAC
rnacentral:snRNA from 1 species